rnacentral:rRNA from 1 species
GAUGAACGCUGGCGGCGUGCUUAACACAUGCAAGUCGAACGGGAUCCAAGGGGUGCUUGCACUUUUUGGUGAGAGUGGCGAACGGGUGAGUAACACGUGAGUAACCUGUCCUUUUCUUUGGGAUAAGCAUUCGAAAGGGUGUUUAAUACCUUAUGUUCUGUCUGCCUCGCAUGGGGUGGGUGGGAAAGGCUUUGGCCGGAUUUGGGUGGGCUCGCGGUCUAUCAGCUUGUUGGUGGGGUGAUGGCUUACCAAGGCUUUGACGGGUAGCCGGCCUGAGAGGGUGGUCGGUCACAUUGGGACUGAGAUACGGCCCAGACUCCUGCGGGAGGCAGCAGUGGGGGAUAUUGCACAAUGGGCGAAAGCCUGAUGCAGCGACGCCGCGUGGGGGAUGAAGGCCUGCGGGUUGUAAACUUCUUUUGCUCUGAACAAGGCAUGCCAGUGGGUGUGUGGAGUGGAGGGGUUGAUUAGCGCCGGCUAACUACGUG